UACAGAGGGGGCUAGCGUUGCUCGGAUUGACUGGGCGUAAAGGGCGCGUAGGCGGUUCGUACAGUCAGACGUGAAAUUCCUGGGCUCAACCUGGGGGCUGCGUUUGAUACGUGCGGACUUGAGUGCGGAAGAGGGUCGUGGAAUUCCCAGUGUAGAGGUGAAAUUCGUAGAUAUUCGGAGGAACACCAGUGGCGAAGGCGGCUCACUGGUCCAUUACUGACGCUGAGGUGCGAAAGCGUGGGGAGCAAACAGG
rnacentral:rRNA from 1 species